GAUGAAGAACGUAGCGAAAUGUGAUACGUAGUGUGAAUUGCAGAAUUCAGUGAAUCAUCGAAUCUUUGAACGCACAUUGCACCUCUCGGUAUUCCGGGAGGUAUGCCUGUUCGAGCGUCAUUUGUACCCUCAAGCUCUGCUUGGUGUUGGGUGUUUGUUCCGCCUCUGUGUGUGAACUCGCCUCAAAACAAUUGGCAGCCGGCGUACUUGUUUCGGAGCGCAGCACAUUUUGCGAUCCAGAUCAACGUACAGCGGCAUCCAAGAAGCCUUAUUUAACGCUCUUGACCUCGGAUCAGGUAGGGAUACCCGCUGAACUUAAGCAUAUCAUAAGCGGAGGA
rnacentral:misc_RNA from 1 species